rnacentral:rRNA from 1 species
UACGAAGGGUGCAAACGUUGCUCGGAAUUAUUGGGCGUAAAGCGCACGUAGGCGGCUCUAUAAGUUGGAUGUGAAAGCCCUCGGCUCAACCAAGGAAGUGCAUCCAAAACUGCAGAGCUUGAGUACUUAAGAGGAUCGCGGAAUUCCUGGUGUAGAGGUGAAAUUUGUAGAUAUUGGGAGGAAUAUUAGUGGUGAAGGCGGCGAUCUGGGAAGAUACUGACGCUGAGGUGCGAAAGCGUGGGGAGCAAACAGG